CGCACCUUGCGCUCCAUGGCAUUCCAUGGAGCAUGCCUGUUUGAGUGUCACGUGAAUACAUCACUCUUGUUAACUAACAUGUCCCUGAGGCAUGUCUCAAGAUGUGGACUUGGACCGUGCCGUGGUUGGCUCGUCUUGAAAUUCAUUAGCCGUGCUGGUUAGAUUCGGCCACCUGGUGUGAUAUACAUCUACGCCUACUGUGUCGUGUCUUUCUGAGGAGUGGCUUAUAAUCGUCGUUUGCUCGACAACCAUUUCAUAACGCUCUGGCCUCAAAUCAGGUAGGACUACCCGCUGAACUUAA
rnacentral:misc_RNA from 1 species